rnacentral:rRNA from 1 species
GGGUUCGCAUGUCUAGUAUAGCACUUUAUACUGUGAAACUGCGAAUGGCUCAUUAAAUCAGUUAUCGUUUAUUUGAUAGUACCUUACUACAUGGAUACCUGUGGUAAUUCUAGAGCUAAUACAUGCUAAAAACCCCGACUUCGGAAGGGGUGUAUUUAUUAGAUAAAAAACCAAUGCCCUUCGGGGCUCCUUGGUGAUUCAUAAUAACUUAACGAAUCGCAUGGCCUUGCGCCGGCGAUGGUUCAUUCAAAUUUCUGCCCUAUCAACUUUCGAUGGUAGGAUAGUGGCCUACCAUGGUGGCAACGGGUAACGGGGAAUUAGGGUUCGAUUCCGGAGAGGGAGCCUGAGAAACGGCUACCACAUCCAAGGAAGGCAGCAGGCGCGCAAAUUACCCAAUCCCGACACGGGGAGGUAGUGACAAUAAAUACUGAUACGGGGCUCUUUCGGGUCUCGUAAUUGGAAUGAGUACAAUCUAAAUCCCUUAACGAGGAACAAUUGGAGGGCAAGUCUGGUGCCAGCAGCCGCGGUAAUUCCAGCUCCAAUAGCGUAUAUUAAAGUUGUUGCAGUUAAAAAGCUCGUAGUUGAACCUUGGGUCUGGCUGGCCGGUCCGCCUCACCGCGAGUACUGGUCCGGCUGGACCUUUCCUUCUGGGGAAUCCCAUGGCCUUCACUGGCUGUGGGGGGAACCAGGACUUUUACUGUGAAAAAAUUAGAGUGUUCAAAGCAGGCCUUUGCUCGAAUACAUUAGCAUGGAAUAAUAGAAUAGGACGUGCGGUUCUAUUUUGUUGGUUUCUAGGACCGCCGUAAUGAUUAAUAGGGAUAGUCGGGGGCGUCAGUAUUCAGCUGUCAGAGGUGAAAUUCUUGGAUUUGCUGAAGACUAACUACUGCGAAAGCAUUCGCCAAGGAUGUUUUCAUUAAUCAGGGAACGAAAGUUAGGGGAUCGAAGACGAUCAGAUACCGUCGUAGUCUUAACCAUAAACUAUGCCGACUAGGGAUCGGGGCGGUGUUUCUAUGAUGACCCGCUCGGCACCUUACGAGAAAUCAAAGUUUUUUGGGUUCUGGGGGGGAAAUAUGGUCCCCAAGGCUGAAAACUUAAAGAAAAUUGGAGGGAAGGGGCCCCCCAAGGGGGGGGAGACCCGCGCGCUUUAAUUUUGAUUCCACACCGGGGGAAAAUUCCCCCAGGGGCCCCACAAAAAUAAAAGGGUGUUGACAAAAUUGAGAAAACUCUUUCUUUGGAACCUUCUUGGAG